rnacentral:rRNA from 1 species
AUGAACGCUAGCGCAGGCUUAACACAUGCAAGUCGAGGGGUAUAGGGAGCUUGCUUCCUAGAGACCGGCGCACGGGUGCGUAACGCGUAUGCAAUCUACCUUUUGCAGAGGGAUAGCCCAGAGAAAUUUGGAUUAAUACCUCAUAGUAUAGCAGUUUCGCAUGAAACCACUAUUAAAGUCACAACGGCAAAAGAUGAGCAUGCGUCCCAUUAGCUUGUUGGUAAGGUAACGGCUUACCAAGGCAACGAUGGGUAGGGGUCCUGAGAGGGAGAUCCCCCACACUGGUACUGAGACACGGACCAGACUCCUACGGGAGGCAGCAGUGAGGAAUAUUGGACAAUGGGCGCAAGCCUGAUCCAGCCAUGCCGCGUGCAGGAUGACGGUCCUAUGGAUUGUAAACUGCUUUAUACAGGAAGAAACACUCCGACGUGUCGGAGCUUGACGGUACUGUAAGAAUAAGGAUCGGCUAACUCCGUG